rnacentral:misc_RNA from 1 species
GAUGAAGAACGUAGCGAAAUGCGAUACUUGGUGUGAAUUGCAGAAUCCCGUGAACCAUCGAGUCUUUGAACGCAAGUUGCGCCCGAAGCCAUCAGGUUGAGGGCACGUCUGCCUGGACGUCACAUAUCGUUGCCCAAUGCCUAUUGCAGUGCAAUAGGAAUUUCUAGGGCGAAUGAUGGCUUCCCGUGAGCGUUGUUGCCUCGCGGUUGGUUGAAAAUCGAGUCCUUGGUAGGGUGUGCCAUGGUAGAUGGUGGUCGAGUUAGAACGAUACCGAUCAUGUGCAUGCUCCCCAAAAUAUGGCCUCUAUGACCCACACGCGUCUUUUGACGCUCAUGACGAGACCUCAGGUCAGGCGGGGCUACCCGCUGAAUUUAAGCAUAUCAAUAAGCGGAGGA